rnacentral:lncRNA from 1 species
AUACGGAUCAUUGUCAGGUUCUAUAGAGGCUCCGUGGAGGAUCUCUGGCCAGCCCAGGAUCUAUAGGGAGAUCAUCAAGGCUCUAUAGGGACUGUGUGGAGCAUUUCUGGGCAGCACAGGGGCUAUAGGGAGCUCAUUUAUGUUCUGUAGGAGCUGCAUGGGGCAUCCCUGGGCAAUCUGAGAGCUAUAGGGGUCUUGUCUGGGCUCUGUAGGGGCUCUGUAGAGCAUCCUUGGGCAGUGUGGGGGCUAUAGAGAGCUCAUCCAGGCUCUAUAGGGCCUGUGGGGAGCAUCCCUAGGCAGCACAGGAUCUAUAGGAAGAGCAUCCAGGCUCUAUAGGGGCUGUGUGGAGCGUUUCUGGCAAGUGCAGGGGCUAUAGGGACCUCGCCUAAGCUCCCUAUAGGUGCUAUAGGGGCAGGGGCUGAGGCGUCCACGCGUCUGUCCACAGCCCGGCAUGACGGACGGCGACUACCUGGCGGCCUUCCUGCGCCUGCUGCUGCCGGUGGCCCUGGAGUUCCAGCCGCAGCUGGUGCUUGUCGCCGCCGGCUUCAGCGCCCUCGUCGGGGACCCCGAGGGGGGGAUGAGCGUGACGCCCGGCUGCUUCGCCCACCUCACCCACCUGCUCAUGGCCCUGGCCGGCGGCCGCCUCGUGCUCUGCCUGCAGGUGAGGGCUGCGCGGGGGCCAUAGGGGCUGCGCGGGGGGCCAUAGGGACCGCCCAGGGGCUAUUGGAGGGCGCCACGGGGCUGUACGGACCGCUCCGGGGUGACGUAUGGGAGCUAUACGGGAUACGUCUGGGCGUUAUGGGGGCCCUGCUCAUCACCCCGGGAGUUAUAGGAGCCGUGUGGGCAUACCUGGAUGCUAUAGGGGCUAUACGGAGCGCCUGUGGGUGUUACAGGGGUGGUACCUUCCUCCCGAGAGCAUCGUAGGGGCCGUACGGGCAGCCCCCAAAUCUUAUAGAGGCCAUGGGGCCCCCCCCAGGGGCAGUAUAGGUGUCUUGGGGGUGACCUGGGGGUGGUAUAGGGGAUAUAUGGGCAACACAGGGGUACUAUAGGGGUUAUAUGUGUGACCCGGGGGUGGUAUAGGGGUCCUAGGGGUGACCCAGGGGUGGUAUAGGGGCCAUAUGGGUGAUCUGGGGGCACUAUGGGGGCUAUAUGGGGGAGCUGGGGGCUGUAUAGGGGUCCUAAGGGUGACCCGGGGGUGGUAUAGGGGUCCUAGGAGUGAUCUAGGAGCAGUAUAGGGACCAUAGGAGUGAUUGGGAGGACUGUAGAGGCCAUGUGGGUGACAUAGGGGCGCUAUAGGGGUCUGAAGAGCAAUGGGGAGGUGAUACCGGAGCCAUAUAGGUAACCAGGGGGGGUUAUAGGAGCCGUAUGGGUGACCCGGGGGGACUAUAGGGGCGUUGCG